UUUGGCUUGCCGGGUUGCUGUUCGGAGUUUGGCCUUGAGAAAGAGGAAUGAGAUGAGAAGUGGGGGAAUCUAUUGGAACAGGAAGAAAUGCAGGACAGACGUUAGGGAGGACAGGUGGACUGGAGUCUGACAGAGGUAGCCAUCAAUAGGAACGACUCUGUUCUUUGUGCUUGGAGCCCUGAUCCCCAUCCAGCUGCAUCUCUGCCAGGCUGAGGAAGCCGCUCGGGCCGUCCGCAGUGUCGACACGGGGCUGUCACCACUCUUGACCCGUGGCUCUGCUAUCGGCUCAGCUCCCAUGCAGAAAGAGCACCUUCGUGGGGCGAGCGUUUGUGCACCUGUGACGGGGCCCUGGGGAAGUGGCCUGGGACACUCUGGAAGGCCCGAGAUGCACUCUUGCCAUCGUCA